UCCCAGAACCCCCCUGUGUUGUAACGGUCAUUCGUCUGUGUAACGUCGGUCGGACAAGCGCGCGCCCUUUUCUCACCCUGUCGCAGCUUCCUAAGAACAAGUUUUAAAGAUGUUCGCCAAGGCUUUCCUCGUUGCUGUAGUGUUUGCUGUAUUCCUGGCCCAAUGCGCAGUUGAAGUAGGAGCGCAAACAACAGCCAUGAGCCCCACCGGCACCAUGAACAACACCAUGGCGACGCCCACAAAUGCACCAGCGGGCGGAGCAGCCAGCCUGGCAGCGGCGCUGAUGACUGUCGUGAUGCCGGCACUGAUGGCCCUCCUCCUGUCUAACUGAGGCGGAAAGUCAGCCUGACAUCAGCUGUCAAUCAAACAUGUCAUACAUACAUUUUGCAUGAGGGUCGUGCUGUGUUUCAAUCUGUAGUUUUCUCCUCAUCCUUGUCAAUUGCAUUGAUGAUGCUCUCCGCGGAAAAAUGCAAUUAACUCAAAGACUUCGUAUAUCAAUGAAGUUCAAUAAUUAUCUUAAGUAGUCAAUCGCAACUACCUGUAAUAGUACCGGAUGUGUGUCUGCUUAUUUGGAGUCGUUGUUCAUAGUAAUAAAUUGCCAAUGUUUACAUUGUCCUGACUACAGGCAAACGCUUCUGUGUCACGUAUAUACAUGUACAACAAUUAGCACCGGUUUACAUAGCUUUUGUAACUUCUCCAUGGUACUACUACUUGUGGUUCACUCUGUGUCACAGUUGUAACUGUUAUAGCAUUCCUGGAGUAAUAGGUGUUGGUCUUUCUGUCAUACUGUCAAUAAACCAUUCUGCGGUGCACAUA